UACGUAGGGGGCAAGCGUUUGUCCGGAUUUAUUGGGCGUAAAGAGCGUGUAGGCGGCCAGACAAGUCUGCUGUGAAAACUCGAGGCUCAACCUCGAGCUGUCGGUGGAAACUGUCUGGCUAGAGUCCGGAAGAGGAGAGUGGAAUUCCUGGUGUAGCGGUGAAAUGCGCAGAUAUCAGGAAGAACACCGAUGGCGAAGGCAGCUCUCUGGGACGGUACUGACGCUGAGACGCGAAAAGCGUGGGGAGCGAACAGG
rnacentral:rRNA from 1 species